AAAUUGAAGAGUUUGAUCAUGGCUCAGAUUGAACGCUGGCGGCAGGCCUAACACAUGCAAGUCGAACGGUAACAGGAAGCAGCUUGCUGCUUUGCUGACGAGUGGCGGACGGGUGAGUAAUGUCUGGGAAACUGCCUGAUGGAGGGGGAUAACUACUGGAAACGGUGGCUAAUACCGCAUAACGUCGCAAGACCAAAGAGGGGGACCUUCGGGCCUCUUGCCAUCAGAUGUGCCCAGAUGGGAUUAGCUUGUUGGUGAGGUAACGGCUCACCAAGGCGACGAUCCCUAGCUGGUCUGAGAGGAUGACCAGCCACACUGGAACUGAGACACGGUCCAGACUCCUACGGGAGGCAGCAGUGGGGAAUAUUGCACAAUGGGCGCAAGCCUGAUGCAGCCAUGCCGCGUGUAUGAAGAAGGCCUUCGGGUUGUAAAGUACUUUCAGCGGGGAGGAAGGUGUUGUGGUUAAUAACCGCAGCAAUUGACGUUACCCGCAGAAGAAGCACCGGCUAACUCCGUGCCAGCAGCCGCGGUAAUACGGAGGGUGCAAGCGUUAAUCGGAAUUACUGGGCGUAAAGCGCACGCAGGCGGUCUGUCAAGUCGGAUGUGAAAUCCCCGGGCUCAACCUGGGAACUGCAUUCGAAACUGGCAGGCUUGAGUCUUGUAGAGGGGGGUAGAAUUCCAGGUGUAGCGGUGAAAUGCGUAGAGAUCUGGAGGAAUACCGGUGGCGAAGGCGGCCCCCUGGACAAAGACUGACGCUCAGGUGCGAAAGCGUGGGGAGCAAACAGGAUUAGAUACCCUGGUAGUCCACGCCGUAAACGAUGUCUACUUGGAGGUUGUGCCCUUGAGGCGUGGCUUCCGGAGCUAACGCGUUAAGUAGACCGCCUGGGGAGUACGGCCGCAAGGUUAAAACUCAAAUGAAUUGACGGGGGCCCGCACAAGCGGUGGAGCAUGUGGUUUAAUUCGAUGCAACGCGAAGAACCUUACCUGGUCUUGACAUCCACGGAAGUUUUCAGAGAUGAGAAUGGUGCCUUCGGAACCGUGAGACAGGUGCUGCAUGGCUGUCGUCAGCUCGUGUUGUGAAAUGUUGGGUUAAGUCCCGCAACGAGCGCAACCCUUAUCCUUUGUUGCCAGCGGUCCGGCCGGGAACUCAAAGGAGACUGCCAGUGAUAAACUGGAGGAAGGGUGGGGAUGACGUCAAGUCAUCAUGGCCCUUACGACCAGGGCUACACACGUGCUACAAUGGCGCAUACAAAGAGAAGCGACCUCGCGAGAGCAAGCGGACCUCAUAAAGUGCGUCGUAGUCCGGAUUGGAGUCUGCAACUCGACUCCAUGAAGUCGGAAUCGCUAGUAAUCGUGGAUCAGAAUGCCACGGUGAAUACGUUCCCGGGCCUUGUACACACCGCCCGUCACACCAUGGGAGUGGGUUGCAAAAGAAGUAGGUAGCUUAACCUUCGGGAGGGCGCUUACCACUUUGUGAUUCAUGACUGGGGUGAAGUCGUAACAAGGUAACCGUAGGGGAACCUGCGGUUGGAUCACCUCCUUACCUUCU
rnacentral:rRNA from 1 species